rnacentral:rRNA from 1 species
AAAUUGAAGAGUUUGAUCAUGGCUCAGAUUGAACGCUGGCGGCAGGCCUAACACAUGCAAGUCGAGCGGUAGCACAGAGAGCUUGCUCUCGGGUGACGAGCGGCGGACGGGUGAGUAAUGUCUGGGAAACUGCCUGAUGGAGGGGGAUAACUACUGGAAACGGUAGCUAAUACCGCAUAAUGUCGCAAGACCAAAGUGGGGGACCUUCGGGCCUCAUGCCAUCAGAUGUGCCCAGAUGGGAUUAGCUAGUAGGUGGGGUAACGGCUCACCUAGGCGACGAUCCCUAGCUGGUCUGAGAGGAUGACCAGCCACACUGGAACUGAGACACGGUCCAGACUCCUACGGGAGGCAGCAGUGGGGAAUAUUGCACAAUGGGCGCAAGCCUGAUGCAGCCAUGCCGCGUGUGUGAAGAAGGCCUUCGGGUUGUAAAGCACUUUCAGCGGGGAGGAAGGCGUUAAGGUUAAUAACCUUGGCGAUUGACGUUACCCGCAGAAGAAGCACCGGCUAACUCCGUGCCAGCAGCCGCGGUAAUACGGAGGGUGCAAGCGUUAAUCGGAAUUACUGGGCGUAAAGCGCACGCAGGCGGUCUGUCAAGUCGGAUGUGAAAUCCCCGGGCUCAACCUGGGAACUGCAUUCGAAACUGGCAGGCUAGAGUCUUGUAGAGGGGGGUAGAAUUCCAGGUGUAGCGGUGAAAUGCGUAGAGAUCUGGAGGAAUACCGGUGGCGAAGGCGGCCCCCUGGACAAAGACUGACGCUCAGGUGCGAAAGCGUGGGGAGCAAACAGGAUUAGAUACCCUGGUAGUCCACGCCGUAAACGAUGUCGAUUUGGAGGUUGUGCCCUUGAGGCGUGGCUUCCGGAGCUAACGCGUUAAAUCGACCGCCUGGGGAGUACGGCCGCAAGGUUAAAACUCAAAUGAAUUGACGGGGGCCCGCACAAGCGGUGGAGCAUGUGGUUUAAUUCGAUGCAACGCGAAGAACCUUACCUGGUCUUGACAUCCACAGAACUUUCCAGAGAUGGAUUGGUGCCUUCGGGAACUGUGAGACAGGUGCUGCAUGGCUGUCGUCAGCUCGUGUUGUGAAAUGUUGGGUUAAGUCCCGCAACGAGCGCAACC